CAGGCGCGGCGGCGGCGGCGGUUACGCGGCGGGCAUGGCGGUGUGCGCUCGUCUCUGUGGGGUGGGCCCUUCGCGGGGGUGUCGGCGUCGCCAGCAGCGCCGGGACCCGGCCGAGACGGCGGCGGCCGACAGCGAGCCGGACACGGACCUGGAAGAGGAGCGCAUCGAGGCGGGCGCGGCGGAGCUGUGCAGUGAGUGGAGCGGCCGGAGCUCGAGCCCCUCGCCACCCCCGCGCUGCUCGCUGCUGGAGCUGCCUCCCGAGCUGCUGGUGGAGAUCUUCGCCUCGCUGCCCGGCACUGACCUGCCCAGCCUGGCCCAGGUCUGCACCAAGUUCUGUCGCAUCCUGCACAACGACACCAUCUGGAGACGGCGCUGCCGGGAGGAGUAUGGUGUUUGUGAAAACUUACGGAAGCUGGAGAUCACGGGUGUGUCUUGUCGAGAUGUCUAUGCGAAGCGUAUAAACCCUCGCGUGAAGUCGGGCCGUUUCAUGAAAAUUCUUCCCGAUUACGAGCACAUGGAGUACAGAGAUGUGUACACCUGCCUGCUCCACCGAUACAGACACAUCUUGGGAUUGUGGCAGCCAGAUAUCGGGCCCUAUGGAGGACUGCUGAAUGUGGUGGUGGAUGGCUUGUUUAUUAUUGGCUGGAUGUACCUGCCUCCCCAUGACCCUCAUGUGGAUGACCCAAUGCGAUUCAAGCCCUUGUUUAGAAUUCACCUGAUGGAGAGGAAGUCAGCCACGGUGGAGUGCAUGUACGGCCACAGAGGGCCCCACAACGGCCACAUUCAGAUUGUGAAGAAGGACGAGUUCUCCACCAAGUGCAACCAGACGGAGUACCACCGGAUGUCUGGCGGGAGACAGGAGGUGAGCCUGCGCUCCUGUCACCAGGAGCAGACGUCAUCAGCAUGCCGCCAACCAGAGGGCUCUCUCCCAUGGUUCAUCCUCACAUUGUUGGUGCAGAAAGAAUUCCGAACAUGGCUGAGGGAAGAAUGGGGGCGGACGCUGGAGGACAUUUUCCACGAGCACAUGCAAGAGCUCAUCCUGAUGAAGUUCAUCUACACCAGUCAGUAUGACAACUGCCUGACCUACCGCCGCAUCUACCUCCCGCCCAGCCACCCGGAUGAUCUCAUCAGGCCAGGCCUCUUUAAAGGCACCUACGGCAGCCACGGCCUAGAGAUUGUCAUGCUCAGCUUCCAUGGGAAGCAUGCCAGGGUCACGAAGAUCACGGGUGACCCCAACAUCCCCGCCGGGCAGCAGACAGUAGAGAUCGACCUCAUGCACCGCAUCCAGCUGCCCAACGUCGAGAACCUCUGCAACUUCAACGAGCUCUCCCGCAUCGUCCUGGAGGCUCAGGAGCAGGUGCGCCAGGAGCAGCAGCGGCAAGAAGACAGGACUGAGGACGGCGAGGGUUCCGGGCCACCCACUGAGGUCAGAGAGCCCGGGAAUGAAGGGGCCGCACCUUUGAAGGAGGAGCCUGUCCAGUUUGUUCUGCCUGUGGGUGUGAGCUCAAGGAACGAGAACUACCCCCGAACCUGCAGGAUGUGGUAAGGACAGGAGGUGGGCGAAGACCAGUUUUGGGGUAGGACCUGGCUCUGACAGGCCAGCGGUGGGGCUUGCUGCACCAGAAUGGGAGCCUCUGAUGGCUUGGUCCAAGCUCCAGCUCAUACCUGAACAGAUGGCGCUGUUUCCUGGGCUGUACAGUCAGCUAUCACAUCCCUUGGGGAGCCUCAGACUGGGGGUAUUAGAACUGCCAGGUGUGAAGACUCCUCCCAGAAUGCCUUGCAUCACAUAGUUACUAAGGUAAAAGGGAGACGAGGCAGGAUGUCAGGCAGCACUGAAGCAGACAGUGAGGAAGAGGACUCUCCCCCUGCCCACACCUCUCCAUGUAGAAAGUCUGCUUGGAGUUCGCCCGGAUGUCCUUGCAGUUUCUACGGCACAGGCCUCAUCGCUGGCCACGGCUUCACUAGCCCUGAGCGCACGCCCGGGGUCUUCAUCCUGUUUGACGAAGACCGCUUCGGGUUCAUCUGGCUGGAGCUGAAAUCCUUCAGCCUGUACAGCAGAG